GGGUUCGAUUAUGGCUCAGAUUGAACGCUGGCAGGAUGCUGCGGCAGUCAGACGGCGGCCACGGACUUCGGUCUGGUGGCGAGAGUGAACGGGUGAGUAAUGUAUCGGAACGUGCCUAGUAGCGGGGGAUAACACAUAGCAUGUGUACCACAUACGCCCUUCGGGGAAAGCGGGGACCUUCGGGCCUCGCACUAUUAGAGCGUGAUAUCGAUUAAGCUAGUUGGUGGGGUAACGGCUCACCAAGGCGACGAUCCGUAGCUGGUUUGAAGGACGACCAGCCACACUGGGACUGGGCCGACCGGACUCCCGGGGAGGGAGCAGCAGUGUGGGAAUUUUUGGACAAUGGGGAAACCUGAUCCCGACCAUCCCGCGUGGUGAUGAAGGCCUUCGGGUUGUAAGCACUUUUGGCGGGAAAAACGGCACGGGAUAAUACCCCGUGCAGCUGACAGUACCACAAAUAUAAGCACCGGCUAACUACGUGCCAGCAGCCGCGGUAAUACGUAGGAGUGCAAGCGUUAAUCGGAAUUACUGGGCGUAAAAGCGUGCGCAGGCGGUUCGGAAGAAAGAUCAUGAAGUCCCAGAGCUUAACUUUGGAACUGCAUUUUUAACUACCGAGCUAGAGUGUGUCAGAGAGUGGAAUUCCGCGUGUAGCAGUGAAAUGCGUAGAUAUGCGGAGGAACACACCGAUGGCGAAGGCAGCCUCUGGGAUAACACUGACGCUCGUGCCCGAAAGCGUGGGGAGCAAACAAGUUAGAUACCUGGUAGUCCACGCCUAAACGAUGUCAACUAGCUGUUGGGGCCUUCGGGCCUUGGUAGCACCUUCAACGCGUGAAGUUGACCGCCUGGGAGUACGGUCGCAAGAUUAAAACUCAAAGGAAUUGACGGGGACCCGCACAAGCGGUGGAUGAUGUGGAUUAAUUCGAUGCAACGCGAAAAACCUUACUACCCUUAGCCGUAUCUGAAUCCCGAAGAGAUUUGGAGAGUGCUCGCAAAGAGAAACCGAUUUGAGUGCUACAUGGCUGUCGUCAGCUCGUGUCGUGAGAUGUUGGGUUAAGUCCCGCAACGAGCGCAACCCCUUGUCAUUGAUUUUACUACGAAGGGCACUCUAAUGAGACUGCCGGUGACAAACCGGAGGAAGGUGGGGAUGACGUCAAGUCCUCGCGGCCCUUAUGGGUAGGGCUUCACACGUCAUACAAUGGUCGGGACAGGGGUCGCCAACCCGCGAUGGGGAGCCAAUCCAGAAACCCGAUCGUAGUCCGGAUCGCAGUCUACAACUCAUUGCGUGAAGUCGGAAUCGCUAGUAGUCGCGGAUCAGCAUGUCAUGGUGAACUACGUUCCCGGGUCUUGUACCGCCCCGUCACACCAUGGGAGUGGGUUUUACAGUAGUUAGCCUAACCGUAGGAGGAGGCGAUUACUGCAGUAGGAUCCAUGACUGGAGACAGGUCAUGAUAAAGAAGGGUAACCCUGUUACCUUGAUGUCAGGCUGCAGUGUAA
rnacentral:rRNA from 1 species